rnacentral:rRNA from 1 species
UCCAUGCAAGUCGAACGGCAGCACGGGUGCUUGCACCUGGAUGGCGAGUGGCGAACGGGUGAGUAAUACAUCGGAACAUGUCCUGUAGUGGGGGAUAGCCCGGCGAAAGCCGGAUUAAUACCGCAUACGAUCUUUGGAUGAAAGCGGGGGACCUUCGGGCCUCGCGCUAUAGGGUUGGCCGAUGGCUGAUUAGCUAGUUGGUGGGGUAAAGGCCUACCAAGGCGACGAUCAGUAGCUGGUCUGAGAGGACGACCAGCCACACUGGGACUGAGACACGGCCCAGACUCCUACGGGAGGCAGCAGUGGGGAAUUUUGGACAAUGGGCGAAAGCCUGAUCCAGCAAUGCCGCGUGUGUGAAGAAGGCCUUCGGGUUGUAAAGCACUUUUGUCCGGAAAGAAAUCCUUGGCUCUAAUACAGUCGGGGGAUGACGGUACCGGAAGAAUAAGCACCGGCUAACUACGUGCCAGCAGCCGCGGUAAUACGUAGGGUGCAAGCGUUAAUCGGAAUUACUGGGCGUAAAGCGUGCGCAGGCGGUUUGCUAAGACCGAUGUGAAAUCCCCGGGCUCAACCUGGGAACUGNAUUGGUGACUGGCAGGCUAGAGUAUGGCAGAGGGGGGUAGAAUUCCACGUGUAGCAGUGAAAUGCGUAGAGAUGUGGAGGAAUACCGAUGGCGAAGGCAGCCCCCCUGGGCCAAUACUGACGCUCAUGCACGAAAAGCGUGGGGGAGCAAACAGGAUUAGAUACCCUGGUAGUCCACNCCCUAAACNAUGUCAACUAG